rnacentral:misc_RNA from 1 species
UACGUAGGGUGCAAGCGUUGAUCGGAAUUACUGGGCGUAAAGCGCGCGUAGGUGGCUUGAUAAGCUGGGUGUGAAAGCCCCGGGCUCAACCUGGGGAGUGCAUCCGGAACUGUCUGGCUAGAGUGCGGGAGAGGAAGGUAGAAUUCCCGGUGUAGCGGUGAAAUGCGUAGAGAUCGGGAGGAAUACCAGUGGCGAAGGCGGCCUUCUGGACUGAUACUGACACUGAGGUGCGAAAGCGUGGGUAGCAAACAGG